UACGGAGGGGGCUAGCGUUGUUCGGAAUUACUGGGCGUAAAGCGCACGUAGGCGGACCGGAAAGUUGGGGGUGAAAUCCCGGGGCUCAACCCCGGAACUGCCUUCAAAACUAUCGGUCUGGAGUUCGAGAGAGGUGAGUGGAAUUCCGAGUGUAGAGGUGAAAUUCGUAGAUAUUCGGAGGAACACCAGUGGCGAAGGCGGCUCACUGGCUCGAUACUGACGCUGAGGUGCGAAAGCGUGGGGAGCAAACAGG
rnacentral:rRNA from 2 species